rnacentral:lncRNA from 1 species
GUGGCUGAUCAGGAGCAAUGUCUACAAUGACACCUGUGAUCGUUACUUUGGUAGUGGCCAUGGCAUCUAGAAGUUCAACCACCUCUUGUGGAGCUGCAGCUUUGGGAGCAGUGGUAUCAUCUUCUUCAUCAUCACUCUCCACCGGCUCGCACAGCUUUAGAACAAGGCAACUAAUGUCAACCCCGGGGUAUAGCUCCUUCA